rnacentral:rRNA from 1 species
AAUAAACAUCAAAAAAAUAAUUAAAAAGUAAUUCAAAGGGGUUAUUAAGGAAAACUAAGGCAAAUUUAUAUAAAAGGAGGUAUAUAACCAAAAGUUUACAAAGCGUAUAGCUAGAAUUAUGUAAGCGAUCCUAAGGUAAACCUUUUAAUUAAGUACUUCCUGAAGUAAAACAUUUUAUUAGGGAAAGGAAAGGAAAUCAACCGAGACUCCGAAAGUAAUGGUGAGUGAAAUCGGAUUAGCCUAAUUAAUUAAAUAAAUUGAAAAACUUAAAUAUCCUUAUUGAAAAAUGAUUCUUUUCUUAAAAAUUAAAGAAAUAUCUUAUUAUUUAAUAAAUAUGUAGAACACUACUCAUUUAAUUUAAAGAUAUGUUAGUUACUAUUACUUUUUCUUUUUUUUUUUAAUCUUAAAUAUAGGUAGCUGCUAAGAGGUUCGCUUCUUCGCAAGUAUUAAUUUAUGGUUAAUAUUUAAAAAGAUAGGUAUUAAUCUAAAGAAGGUUAAAAACUAAAGACCUGUAGGUUUAUUAAUUAAUAAAUAGGAAUAAAUUAGAAAUAUAUUAUAAUUAAAAAUUUUAAAAAAAAUAAUUUGUUAAGUUAUAUCUUUUUUAAAUUAUUUUAUUAUUUUGGAAAGCCUAAAUUUAAACCUGAAAAGUACGAUGAGAGAAAACUUGUCGGAAUAUAGGGGUACCAUCCUCUAAGGCUAAGUAUUAUAAAUUUAGCGAUAGUGAAUAAGUACUGUAAAGGAAAAGUUUGAAAAGCGAGUGUUAUACAAAAAAGUGAACUUCUAAAAUUUUAAUUAAAAUUAAAAUUUUUAUUAGUGAAUCGGUGAAAUAGAUCAUGAAUUAGUAACUCUAUAAGCAGUCGAAAUUCUACUUGAAAACAUAAAAGAUUCAUGAAUAACGGCGUACCUUUUGCAUAAUGGGUCAGCAAGUUAAUAUGAGUAGCAAGGUUUAAAGCCCUAGCGAAAGCGACUGGACUAUAAUUUAAAUAUCUAGUACACGGUAAAAUUUGUACACAUAUCUGUAAUAACCUAAUAAUAAUAAAAUAAAACCUAUUAUAAAUAGGAGUUUACAGAUGUCUCCCAAAGAAAUUUAUAUAUAUGUAGUGAUGGGUUAGUUACUUCUAUUAGACCCGAAGCCAGGUGAUCUUACCAAGACCAGAUUAUAAUAGAUCGAACGGGUGAAUGUUGCAUAAUUCUCCGAUGAGUUUUGGUAAGCGGUGAAAUGCCAAUCUGACCUGGUGCUAGCUGGUUUUCUACCGAAACAUAUUUAAGUAUGAUGUCUACACAAAAUUUAUGGAGGUACAGCAAGGCAAUUCCCAACAAGUUUAAGGAACAUAUUUAGUCUUUUUUUUUUUAAAAAAAAAAAAAAAGAAGAAAAAUAAUAUGUAUAUCUUUUAGGCGUUUAGGUUGCGGGGACCUCGAAAAUCUUACCUUUGGAAGCGAAUCUCGGAAUUACAUAAAUUGAUGGUAGAUAUUCAGACUACUCAUGCUAAGUUGGGUAGUCAAGACGGAAACAGCCGAGAACACUGAUCAAGGUCCCAAAUGAUUGUUAAGUGAAAUUAAGGACGUAGCAAUAUCGCAUACAGCUGUGAAGUGAGCCUGGUAGUCGCUACUUAUAAUGAUCGUAUGUAACAACGCAUCAGCAGUUAGAUAGUAGCGCCGAAAAUUUAACGGGUCUUAAACAAUCAACCGAUAUCGUGUUGGUUUAAAGUAUAAUUUAAAUCUAGGUAGUAGAACAUUCAGUCAAACUAAUUAUAAAAUAGUGUUUCAUUAUUUUUUAGGUUACUGAAGAGAGAAUGCUGACAUGAGUAACGUAAAAAAUUCCUAUAAUGGAAUUCGCCGAAUACGAAAGGGUUGCAAAUUUGAAAGGUUAAUCCGUUUUGUUUGAAUGCGGCCUCUAAGGACCAAAACCAAAGUUUUGGCUGAUGAGUAUAUAAUAGAAAGUCCAAAAUUUAAGGACCAGGAAAUUAAUAUUAAAAAUAAUAAUUUUAGAUAUGCUAGUUUACAAACUCAAAAUGAAGGUAAAACUUAUAGAAUAAAGUUUGAAUGGGGAAAUAAAAUAAGAGUUAUGCAUUUCAUGUACAUAAUCUUUUUGAUGAAUGGGUCUCGAUGUCGACUCAUCCUAUCCUCCGGGGGAAGAAGCUUGGAAGGGUUCGGCUGUUCGCCGAUUAAAAGGGUACGUGAGUUGGGUUUAAUACGACGUGAGUCAGUAUGGUCCCUAUCUUCUGGAGGGAUAAUUAGUAAAAAGGGGCAGACCUUCUAGUACGAAAGGAUCAAUAGGCUGUGUUUCUCUAGUGUACCAAUUGUUUGUACUAUUUUGUUAAGACCCUAUCUCUCCCCUUUGGGGCUUGAGAUAAAGAUAAUGGGGUAAAAUCCUUUUGGACUUUAAGCUAAAAGUUCUUUAAUUUAAAUACCCUUAAAAUAGGUUAUGAUAAAAGGUUACAAAAUGGGAAGGCAUAGUUGGGUAGCCACAAACAUAAUAGAUAAGUGCUGAAUGUCUAUAAAGCAAGAAUCUAACCCCUAGAUACUUACAAAAUGAUUAAUUGUCUAAAGUUUAAGCUUAUUUUUAAGUUUAAUUUAGAUUUUUAAGCAUAAAUUAAGAAAUAGAACAUUUCUAGAUAGGCUGCAAAUAAAACAUAUUGUAAGAUAUUUAGUUUAGCAGUACUAAUUUAUAAAGAAACUUGAUG